rnacentral:rRNA from 1 species
GAUGAACGCUGGCGGCGCGCCUAACACAUGCCAGUCGAACGAUUAAAGCACCUUCGGGUGUGUAUAAAGUGGCGAACGGCUGAGUAACACGUGGGCAACCUGCCCCUUUCAUUGGGAUAGCCACGGGAAACCGUGGAUAAUACCGAAUACUUCGAGACUUCCGCAUGGAAGACUCGAGAAAGCUCCGGCGGGGAGGGAUGGGCCCGCGGCCUGUUAGCUUGUUGGUGGGGUAACGGCCUACCAAGGCAAUGAUGGGUAGCUGGGUUGAGAGACCGACCAGCCAGAUUGGGACUGAGACACGGCCCAGACUCCUACGGGAGGCAGCAGUGGGGAAUCUUGCACAAUGGGCGAAAGCCUGAUGCAGCGACGCCGCGUGCGGGAUGAAGGCCUUCGGGUUGUAAACCGCUUUCAGCAGGGACGAGGCGAAAGUGACGGUACCUGCAGAAGAAGCCCCGGCUAACUACGUG